UGACUACCAUGGUAUGACAGUCAACCAAGUUUUCCUACACCAUGGGACCAUUUAUAUUUAUAAUUGAGUAAUGUAUACAGUUCAUUUUUGAAGACUGUACCUGUACAUAGUUACCAGCAAUGGCUUUUCAAAGGCUAAGUCCUACAUGUUUCAUGAGCUGAGAUACUGAGUGUUUGAAAACACCUCUCUGCUUUGAAGAUCUAGAGGCCAGAACCAAGAUGUCAGCAAGAUUGGUUCCUUAUGAAGGCUCGGGGGGAAAAAGUCCUUUCCAUGCCUCAAUUCCAGCUUCUGGUGGCUGCAGAUCAUCCUUGGUGUCCCUUGGCUUGUAAAUGUAUCACUUCUCUUCCUGAGUCUUCAUGUGGUCUUUCUCUUUGGGUGUCUUCUGUGUUUGUAUGUCUCAAAUCUCCCUCUCCUUUCUCAUAUAAAGACACAAAUUAUUGGAUUUAGAGCCCAAAUUAAAUCCAGUUUGAUCUCAUAAUCUUAAACUUAAUCACAACUGAAAAUGAACUAUUUCCAAAUAAAAUAACAUUCAUAGAUAGCAGGGGUUAGUACUCGGACACACCUUUUAAGGACUGCUAUUCAACCUACUAUAGUGACCAGAAGGCUCAGCAAGAAGCCAUGAUUUGUUUCCACAGUUUGUGGCUCCAAAGAGAUGUGCUUUAACCUGCCAGUUUAGUCUCCAGCUAGGGUUAUGUUAGGGAGAAAGGAAACAGAGUACACAGGGAGAGAAUGACUGUGUUUUUAAGCAAGUCUUUGCAUUUGCUUUCAUUUUUAUGCCACGUUGUUCAUGGCUUAACUAAAAUGUUUUUCUAAUGUUUGCUGUCUGCCCAAAGCUACAUAUGGAAUUGCAAGUUCCUCUUUGCAGACAGUAUUUGUUUUAGCUUUUGGGGCAUCUUCAUUUAGUUGCCAAGGAGCCAUGGAUUUUAGCUAGGACCAUAGAGUUUGCCUCUCCAUUACAUAAUGAUAUCCUUUUCUCAACACUCACUGUCCCCUCAGAGGAGUGUGAACAACAAACGACACAACAUGUAAACAGCUUGACUUAAUGCUUUCACUGCUCAGCCUCUAAAAACUGAUUCUUCUAUUCCCAUUCACUAGGACAUUGGGAUAUAGCCUCUCCUCGUUGCUCACUACUAGGGCAAGAACAUGCACUAUCCUGAUCCCAGGGAGUCAUCUUGUAUUCCCUAUCCUAGCCUAAGAAGCUCUCAUCCUUCUUCUUCUAGAAAACCAUUUCUGUCAACAUCAUAUUCUCAAUGCCAACCAGUCAAGAACUGUGAAAGAUCUGAGAUGUUAUCCUACUUGCAAGCUAACAAGUUAACUUGCCAUUGUUUUAUGGAUGCUGACUGAGACUGCUAGGCAGAAAGGGUUUUGUUACUCACAUCACAGCAAACAUCAUGAGCAUUAGUGUAUUUUGGGUCGGUUCUAUUUGACCCUGAUUCCCAUGUGGUGAUGUAGUUGUACUCAGAGUAAUAUCUGAAUGUGUACUGGUUUGCAUUACAGGGAGAAACCACAAGUUUGGGAAGCCUGAACUUUUCUUAAUGGGGACUUAACGUAUCUGCCCUUUGCUUCAAAGAGAUACACUAUCGCUAUAUUCCAACAAUGUUUGCUGAACAAGCAUCCUUGAAAAGGUAGUUCAUAAAAAGAGACAGUUCAUGCCUCUGUUUGCAAGACAUAUGGAAGAAGGAGAGAUCCAUGUAGAAUUGCCUUU